GAAAGAAGCUUCCUGAGGCACACAAUUUCCUAAAGAAAGCCCGGCCGUUGUCAAGGAGAAAGGGGGAGGGAGCGCACAGGUCUCCUUCCUGGGAAUUGCUCUUCCUCCUCCCUCUCAUUUCAUAGCCAGGCAGAUUAGCAAUAUAACGUGGAAUUCACAUUAACAGUCUGAAAUGGUACAUUCCAGCAAGAACUGUAACAGAUGAUUCUACUGAUCAAGUAGCUUGGUUUGGUGAACAGAGCAUAGAACUAUGGGAUAUAUGAACGGAAAGCCAUUUUAUGCUUCAUUGAUGCCUGUAUUAAAAAUAUUAAACUCUGUAUUUUCUUGUAUAGUCUCUCUCAUUCCUUAACUCUAUUUUGUGAAAAUUCUUUGCACAUCAGUCUUUUUAUCCCCACACUUCUGGCAUGAAAUUCUUGCAUCUUGCAGAUGGUUCUGGGCACCUACUCAAGAUUCCCCUGCAAUUGUGGAUCUUUGUGGAGAAAAUAUCUCGGAUGUGGGCCAUCGUAGACCCCACAAUUAUUGCAGAGUCUAAUGUGGAAGUGUCCAGUAACUUCUCUUAUGCAGUCCAUGUUCCUGAUUAUAUUAUGUAUAUAUUAUUACUAUAUCAUGUGUAUUAUUAUGUAUGUUUUAAAUUUUGGUCUAUGACUGUAAAUAAACAUGAUUGAUUGAUUGAU